UACGUAGGGGGCAAGCGUUGUCCGGAUUUAUUGGGCGUAAAGAGCGUGUAGGCGGCCUGAAAGGUCAGCUGUGAAAACUCGAGGCUCAACCUCGAGACGUCGGUUGAAACCGUCUGGCUAGAGUCCGGAAGAGGAGAGUGGAAUUCCCGGUGUAGCGGUGAAAUGCGCAGAUAUCGGGAAGAACACCCGUGGCGAAGGCGGCUCUCUGGGACGGUACUGACGCUGAGACGCGAAAGCGUGGGGAGCGAACAGG
rnacentral:rRNA from 1 species